GACGAACGCUGGCGGCUUUCUUAACACAUGCAAGUCGAACGGAAAGGCCCUGCUUUUUUGGGGUUCUCGAGUGGCGAACGGGUGAGUAACACGUGAGUAACCUGCCCUUGACUUUGGGAUAACUUCAGGAAACUGGGGCUAAUACCGGAUAGGAGCUCCUGCUGCAUGGUGGGGGUUGGAAAGUUUCGGCGGUUGGGGAUGGACUCGCGGCUUAUCAGCUUGUUGGUGGGGUAGUGGCUUACCAAGGCUUUGACGGGUAGCCGGCCUGAGAGGGUGACCGGCCACAUUGGGACUGAGAUACGCCCCAGACUCCUACGGGAGGCAGCAGUGGGGAAUAUUGCACAAUGGGCGGAAGCCUGAUGCAGCAACGCCGCGUGCGGGAUGACGGCAUUCGGGUUGUAAACCGCUUUCGCCUGUGACGAAGCGUGAGUGACGGUAAUGGGUAAAGAAGCACCGGCUAACUACGUG
rnacentral:rRNA from 1 species